rnacentral:rRNA from 1 species
UACAGAGGGUGCAAGCGUUAAUCGGAAUUACUGGGCGUAAAGCGUGCGUAGACGGUUGCGUAAGUCGGAUGUGAAAGCCCCGGGCUCAACCUGGGAAUUGCAUUUGAGACUGCGUAGCUAGGGUGCGGAAGAGGGAAGCGGAAUUUCCGGUGUAGCGGUGAAAUGCGUAGAUAUCGGAAGGAACACCAGUGGCGAAAGCGGCUUCCUGGUCCAGCACCGACGUUCAGGCACGAAAGCGUGGGGAGCAAACAGG